rnacentral:rRNA from 1 species
GUGGGGAAUAUUGGGCAAUGGGGGAAACCCUGACCCAGCGACGCCGCGUGAGGGAAGAAGGCCUUAGGGUCGUAAACCUCUGUUGUGUGGGAAGAAGAGCGUGACGGUACCACACGAGGAAGUCCCGGCUAACUACGUGCCAGCAGCCGCGGUAAUACGUAGGGGACGAGCGUUGUCCGGAUUUACUGGGCGUAAAGGGCGCGUAGGCGGUCAUUUAAGUCAGCUGUGAAAUGGUUUGGCUUAACCGGAUCAUGCGGUUGAAACUGGAUGACUGGAGUGCUGGAGAGGCAAGUGGAAUUCCCAGUGUAGCGGUGAAAUGCGUAGAUAUUAGGAAGAACACCAGUGGCGAAGGCGACUUUCUGGACGAAAACUGACGCUGAGGCGCGAAAGCCAGGGGAGCGAACGGGAUUAGAAACCCCAGUAGUCC